rnacentral:misc_RNA from 1 species
AAGUCGUAACAAGGUUUCCGUAGGUGAACCUGCGGAAGGAUCAUUAUCUAUUUUAAUGGUGUUGGUCGCGGCCCCCGGCGGAAGUAUCCCCGGGCGGUAGAGGUAACACUCUCACGCGGCCACAUGCCUUCAUCCUUUUUUUACGAGCACCUUUCGUUCUCCUUCGGUGGGGCAACCUGCCGUUGGAACCUAUCAAAACCUUUUUUUGCAUUUAGCAUUACCUGUUCUGAUACAAACAAUCGUUACAACUUUCAACAAUGGAUCUCUUGGCUCUG